rnacentral:rRNA from 1 species
GGUUCGAAAGGCGAUCAGAUACCGCCCUAGUUCUAACCGUAAACGAUGACAACCAGCGAUUAGUCGGCGUUAAUAUAAGACCCGACUAGCAGCUUCCGGGAAACCAAAGUUUUCGUUUCCGGGGGAAGUAUGGUUGCAAAGCUGAAACUUAAAGGAAUUGACGGAAGGGCACCACCAGGAGUGGAGCCUGCGGCUUAAUUUGACUCAACACGGGAAAACUCACCCGGCCCGGACACCGUAAGGAUUGACAGACUGAGAGCUCUUUCUUAAUUCGGUGGGUGGUGGUGCAUGGCCGUUCUUAGUUGGUGGAGCGAUUUGUCUGGUUAAUUCCGAUAACGAACGAGACUCUGGCCUAUUAAAUAGCCGGUAUAUCUAGAAAAGUAUGCCGCGCUUCUUAGAGGGACAACCGGCGUCUAGCCGCGUGAAAUAGAGCAAUAACAGGUCUGUGAUGCCCUUAGAUGUCCGGGGCUGCACGCGCGCUACACUGAAAGAAUCAGUAUGCGCCUUCGCCUAGUUCGGAAGAACCGGGUAACCCGAGCAAAUUCUUUCGUGCUUGGGAUAGGGAAUUGCAAUUAUUUCCCUUAAACGAGGAAUUCCCAGUAAAUGCGGGUCAUAAGCUCGCGUUGAUUACGUCCCUGCCCUUUGUACACACCGCCCGUCGCUACUACCGAUUGGAUGAC